rnacentral:rRNA from 1 species
CCUACGGGAGGCAGCAGUGGGGAAUAUUGCACAAUGGGCGCAAGCCUGAUGCAGCCAUGCCGCGUGAGCGAUGAAGGCCUUCGGGUCGUAAAGCUCUGUCCUCAAGGACGAUAAUGACGAUACUUGAGGAGGAAGCCCCGGAAAACUACGUGCCAGCAGCCGCGGUAAUACGUAGGGGGCUAGCGUUAUCCGGAAUUACUGGGCGAAAAGGGUGCGUAGGGGGUUUCUUAAGUCAGAGGUGAAAGGCUACGGCUCAACCGUAGUAAGCCUUUGAAACUGGGAAACUUGAGUGCAGGAGAGGAGAGUGGAAUUCCUAGUGUAGCGGUGAAAUGCGUAGAGAUGAGGAGGAACACCAGUGGCGAAGGCGGCUCUCUGGACUGGAACUGACACUGAUGUACGAAAGCGUGGGGAGCAAACAGGAUUAGAUACCCCUGUAGUC